CUCUGGAGUCACUGAGAUUACAGAACUCUCAAGAUGCCUUGGGCUGGGAAGAACCCAAAGACAGCUCUUUCUGAACACUUGAAUUUGGACAGACAAGCAACCCAGCCACCUUUCAGUGUGGCUGUGUCAGUAUCGGAAUGAAAUGAACAUGACCCCCUCCAGCAGGGAAGGGAACACACAGUAAAGCCUUCAUCUCAAGAUCAGAUUCAACACAUAGUAGAACCUGCUUUGGGACACCUCCUCUCCUCCUCAAUACUGACAUCAGGAUUUGGUAAAAAGGGCUACUGUACAUUUCCCCCCAAAAUCACUUGGGAUAUUUGUGGUAUAGCAAUUUAUAAAAAUAGGAACCCCCUAUCUUUUAAUCCUUUAUUGAUAGGGAUCCUAAUGAUUUACUGAAAUUAGCCGCAAAUUUAGGAAGAGCCCUAUUCCAUAGGACAGUUUUUCCCAGGAGAGAUCUCAAGGUUUCCUACAUUUAUGGAAAUGAAAAUGAGUUUUCUCUAAUAUAUUACAUACACUUACCUAUUCCUAGUUCCAGGUAGGAGUCCAGAUUACUUACCAGGUAUGGCUGAGUGGGAGGACACAGGUAAAAAGAAAGAUGCACACAGAAGGCUUCAUAAGAAACAUAAUCCUCUGGAGUGACAGAGAAAAUUCUAAAAAAUAGGGUGAUAGAGAAGCAAGAUUGGAAGUAGUCUCCUCAGAGGUAGUGGGAUGGAAUUCUCAAAGCCCAACUUCCUUGGUGUGUAAGCGAUCCCAAACAGAGUUAAGGGGAGGUGAAAUGGAGCUGCCAAACGUCCAAAGAAGAGAUUAUCUACUUAAUUAAAGUUUUUUUUUCCUCUCUAAGUCCUUCAGCCAAUCAGAACUCAAGUGCCAGAAAAAGAUUGAGUCGAUCAAAAGAACACUCCAGGAUCCUCCCAGACAAAUGCAGAAGAAGGGGACCAGGAGAAAGAGGACAAAGAAAGAAGGGGGGUGGGGGAAGAGACAUAGCAAAUCCCUUCUACAUAAUCACUGCGUGGAGUCUCUCUUUCCUCCCUCUUGCCUGUCCCCUCCCACCACACCACAACCUUCCCCCACCCACGCACACUGACACACACACACACACACACACACAGCCGAGUCCCCAAAAGGGAUUUAGAAGGGUCUGUGCUUUCCCAGUUGUCCUUUGUAGCGCUUUGAGACUGAAUUUGCAUUCAGAAUAGCUUUCUUCAGAAAAAAAAAAUAGACCAUGUACGGUGAACCUCAGGCCCUCUGAUUUGAGCAUGUGUGGACACAACUCAACCAUCUUGUGUAUUCUCUCUCUAAGUUAGGAAGAAGAUCAUGAAACUUCAGAAACUUUUGCAUCACACGAUUACUUACCAAACACUAUUACGUUC